rnacentral:rRNA from 1 species
CAGCCGCCACGGUAAUUCGGAGGAUCCAAGCGUUAUCCGGAAUCAUUGGGUUUAAAGGGUCCGUAGGCGGUCUUGUAAGUCAGUGGUGAAAGCCCAUCGCUCAACGGUGGAACGGCCAUUGAUACUGCAGGACUUGAAUUAUUGGGAAGUAACUAGAAUAUGUAGUGUAGCGGUGAAAUGCUUAGAGAUUACAUGGAAUACCAAUUGCGAAGGCAGGUUACUACCAAUUGAUUGACGCUGAUGGACGAAAGCGUGGGUAGCGAACAGGAUUAGAUACCCCCGUAGUCCCUGUCUCUUAUAC